rnacentral:rRNA from 1 species
UACGUAGGGUGCAAGCGUUAAUCGGAAUUACUGGGCGUAAAGCGUGCGCAGGCGGUUUUGUAAGUCAGAUGUGAAAUCCCCGGGCUUAACCUGGGAACUGCGUUUGAAACUACAAGGCUAGGGUGUGGCAGAGGGGGGUGGAAUUCCGCGUGUAGCAGUGAAAUGCGUAGAUAUGCGGAGGAACACCGAUGGCGAAGGCAAUCCCCUGGGCCUGCACUGACGCUCAUGCACGAAAGCGUGGGGAGCAAACAGG